rnacentral:lncRNA from 12 species
CAAGGGCAGCAAAUGUUCAAAGUGUUGUUAUCUGCUGUUCGUUAUCACUUCAGAGGUGAAGGCUGCUAUCUUUGUACUUCACCUCUUGUUCAAGACGAUUAUGCAUAGAUCUUGAAGCUCAUGUACAUACAAUAGCACCAAAUAGUGAAAGUGCUGUGAAGACCAUGUUUGGAAUAUUGC